UCGCCUGUUUAACAAAAACAUGUCUUUUUGAAUUUUUUUUAAAGUCUAGCCUGCCCACUGAAUAAUUUUAAAUGGCCGCAGUAUACUAACUGUGCAAAGGUAGCAUAAUCAUUAGUCUUUUAAUUGAAGGCUGGUAUGAAUGGUUGGACGAGAUAUUAACUGUUUCAUAAAAAUUUAUAAUAGAAUUUUAUUUUUUAGUCAAAAAGCUAAAAUAUAUUUAAAAGACGAGAAGACCCUAUAAAUCUUUAUAUUUAGGUUAUUAUAAUUUUAUAGAUUUUUUUUGUUAUAAUAAUUGAUAAUAUUUUAUUGGGGUGAUAUUAAAAUUUGAUAAACUUUUAAUUGUUUAAAUCAUUAAUUUAUGAAUAAUUGAUCCGUUAUUAGUGAUUAAAAAAAUAAGUUACUUUAGGGAUAACAGCGUAAUUUUUUUGGAGAGUUCAUAUCGAUAAAAAAGAUUGCGACCUCGAUGUUGGAUUAAGGUAUAAUUUUAGGUGUAGCCGCUUAAAUUUUAAGUCUGUUCGACUUUUAAAUUCUUACGUGAUCUGAGUUCAGACCGGA
rnacentral:rRNA from 1 species